rnacentral:rRNA from 1 species
UACGAAGGGGGCUAGCGUUGCUCGGAAUCACUGGGCGUAAAGGGCGCGUAGGCGGCGUUUUAAGUCGGGGGUGAAAGCCUGUGGCUCAACCACAGAAUGGCCUUCGAUACUGGGACGCUUGAGUAUGGUAGAGGUUGGUGGAACUGCGAGUGUAGAGGUGAAAUGCGCAGAUAUCGGGAAGAACACCCGUGGCGAAGGCGGCUCUCUGGGACGGUACUGACGCUGAGACGCGAAAGCGUGGGGAGCGAACAGG